CAUGUACACUUAUGAUUGAGAGUAGUACUAGGUUAGAUGACAUGCGAAAAUAUGUAGCAGAACGCUUCUCAUUUGACAUCCACUUAAUAUCUUUAAGAUACUUUGUCCCGAGAAAUAAAAUAUUUAUUGUGAACCUAGACAAUGAUGACGAUAUUAUUAGGAUGUUGAACGUCCAUGAAGGUGAGAAUGAAGUGUUUGUCUAUAUGUUUGAUGGAAAUAAACGUAGGAAUAGAAGUACUUCACAUAAUACUAUGACAGUCAAAGAUGUCAGACCCCCACAAUCCCCUAAUGUUUUAGUCUGAGUUUCCGAUCAAAGCAUUGUACCAAAGUUGCUUAGUACAUGGGAGAAUGCACUUUUUAGGAUAUGGCAGCAAUUUAAAUUUUUAGAAGAUUUUCGAGAAGCCCUUAGCAAGUUUGUUAUAGCAAACCAUUUCACUUAAAAAUGAGGGGUAUCGCAUAAGGGCAAAAUGCAAGGCUGAAGGAUGCAAAUGGGAGAUGUAUGCUGGGAAGCUUGGCAAGACGAAUGUUUUCAUAAUCAAUACAUGGAUAAGAGAUCACUCAUGCAAUAUUGAGACAAGCAGUGAUGUAUAGAGAAGAGCUUCACAAAAAUUUGUUGCAUCAUUAAUCAAGGAUAAAUUAAGUGACACUGCACAUUACAAGGCUUGAGAAAUCAUGAGUGAUUUGUCUCGAGAUUAUGGGUUAGAAUUACCCUAUUGGAAGGCUUGGCGAAGAAAAGAAACGGUCAUAAAAGACACACAUGGUUCGCAAGAAGAGGCAUACAACCAAUUACCAACAUAUGCAAAUCAUGUGAUAGAGACAAAUCCUGGUAGUUAUGUGACAGGACAAGUAUGGUCAGGUGAUAGAUUUCGUCGAUUGUUCUUAAGUUUUUAUAGGUCAAUACAUGGCUUCAAAAAUGGAUGUCGUCUACUUAUAUUUCUCGAUAGGGCAUUAUUGAAGGCACGGUACCUUAGGACUCUACUUGCUGCCAACUCACUCGAUGGGGAAGGGAAAUGUUUCAUGUUGCAUUCGCAAUUGUGGAUGCCGAAAUACAGAUAACUGGUUAUGGUUUAUGGGAUCGUUAAAGAUUGCUAUUGGGACGGAUCGUGAAAUUACUUUUUUAUCAGAUAGACACCCUAGUCUCAUUGAUAUUGUGUGUCAAGUCUUUCAUAAUGCCCAUCAUGCCUUCUAUGAGCGUCAUUUAACGGAGAAUUUCAAGAAAGAAGCAAAACACAUACCUAAUGAUGUUAAGAAGAAAUUGUAUGUACCUUUAUCAGUGCAUGUAGAGCAUAUAUGCAGCUAGAGUAUUUUGAUAAGAUGAUAGAAAUUAGAUCACUUUUUGAGGACGCAUUCUAGUGGUUCAUAGAAGCCUCACCAAACCGUUGAGCCACAUCACAGUUCAAGGGUAAUCGAUAUGACCAAGUAACAACUAAUGUGGCUGAGUUAUAUAAUAAGUGGAUUCUAGAAGCACGAGAUAUGCUAAUUCUCCAAUGCGUUGACUUGAUUAGAAGACAAAUCAUGGAAUUAAUGGCCAAUCGCAGCUUGAAAUCUAAAACUUGGACUACAACACUUACCCCAAAAGCACAAAACGAGCUAAAAAAUGUCAUAAAACAAUUCAUUUCCGUGAGAGUCACUGUGGCAACAAAUGGAGCAGUUUAUGAAGUUAGGGGUGAUCGCAUAAAUUACAAGGUAAAUAUUAUUACACGAGAAUAUGAAUGUCGGGGUUGACAAAUAACAUGUUUGCCUUGCAAGCAUGCUUGUAAAGCCCUUCAAGUAAUGAAUAGGGACUAUUGUCAAGAAUAUUUCACAAUUGCGAAAUUUCGUGAAACAUAUUCCGUAGCUAUCAUGCCAAUUACCUUAAUCGACUUGUCUGUGCAUGGUUUACGUGGACAACUUCAUUUAGAGGGAGUAAAAGUACUUCCACCUCACUCAAGACGUCCCCUUGGCCGACUUAAAAAGAAGCGCAUCGAGUCACAUGAAGUACUAGUGCGACAUAUUCACUGUAGGCAGUGCAAAGGAACUGGUCAUAACAGGGCAACUUGUAAAGCACACACUUGAAGGCAUAAACUUUAUUUACAUUUUCUUUUCUUUUUAAUUUGAUUGUUGUAAUUGUACUUAUAUUUGUGUUCAUUUUGGUUAAAGAAGCAUACUUUAUUUACAUUUUCUUUUCUUUUUGAUUUGGUUGUUGUUAUUGUACUCGUAGUUGUGUUCAUUUUGGUUAAAGAAAUGUACUUUAUUUACAUUUCCUUUUCUUUUUGAUGUGAUUGCUGUUAUUUUACUUGUAGUUGUAUUUAUUUUGGUUAAAGAAGCAUACUUUAUUUACAUUUCCUUUUUACUUGUAAUUGUAUUUAUUUUUUGUUAAAGAAGCAUAAUUUCUCUUUACCAAUUCAUAUGUUGUGCACAUGUAAACUCUGAUAAUAUAAAUAGAUAAUAGUGAUGCAAGACCCAGAACCGUCAAGUAGAACAAGGAGCGCAUCCACUUCCUCCGAUCAAAGGGAAAAUAAGAAAAACAACAUUCGUAUUAAUGAAUCAACUAAGACCCUGGGAAAAUGGGAGCUGGAUCCACGACAGGUAGCUUUGAUUGAAAAAAGCAAUUUGAUCUCCUUGAAAGACAUCGGGGUUACACAUAUCGAUUGCAGUUUACUGAGGGCCUUUAUUGGAAAGUGGUGCAAGGUAACUAAUACUUCAUGGUUAACUGUUGGUGAGAUGACUCCAACUCUGUACGAUGUGUGGCACAUAUUACGGAUACUUGUGAUAGGCAAGCCUGUAACAGGCAUAAGACCUAAAGACUACAAGGCUUUCAUCAUAGAGUUUUUGGGAAAUUACCAUAUUGGUGAUAAGUUGAACCGACUUAAACAUACUUGGUUGAGGGCAAAAUUUGAGCAACUACCGAAAAAACCUACCAAAAUAAAAUUGCUUCAACACACUAGAGCUUAUCUAUUGUAUUUAGUCGGCACAACUAUAUUUGCUGAUACAUCUCAAGAUUCGACACUGACAAGUUACCUGCAACUGUUCGGAGAUCUCGAUGAGGCAGAAAAGUAUGCAUGGGGAGCAACAACACUUACAUUCUUGUAUGGUUCCUUAUCUAAGAUUGUAGAUGGGGAUACACAUUUUAGUGGGUCAACAACACUACUACAGCGUUGGAUCUAUGAGCAUUUUCCAGCUCUAAGCAGCAAGCCUACAACUAUCACUAUAGAAAUGCCUAGAGCUUCCAAAUGGAAGAAACAACCACUGUAGGUGACUUGGUAACCAUAUGACGAGUACAAUCCACGAGAUACACUAAUUAAGGAAAAUGCGUUGUGCCGGUCAUAUCUGAUAUGCUUCAACAUUGCAGAGUUCUAUAUGUUUAAUCGUGUAGUGCGACAAUUUGAGAUGAUGCAAGCGAUUCCUAUUGGACCAUACAAGUGGGAUAGGAGGGAAAAGGUCGGCUUACAUCCUACAAGUUGGAUUGGCGAGUUGAGUGUCGAGAUAAGUGACUGACGUCAACGAGAACACAACAUUGUCAGGGCAGACAUGGAUAAAUAUGGUGGAAUGCUUACAAAUGAAUAUAUGAGUUGGUACAACAUGUUCACCCAUGGAUAUCGAAAUACUCCAAUGUGCCCCCCCUCGCAGUCGCAAUCGAGUUAUAGAAAUACUCCCAUGUGCCUCCCCUCACAGUCACAAUACCAAUUACCCCCCCCCCUCGCAGUCACAAUCCCAAUUACCCCCCCUCGCAGGGCAUAUGUCCGAGAGGACAUUGGUAUAUUAUGUAAUUUACGUAUUUUCUUUUUUAUUGACUUAAUAUGUUUUUCAUUAUCUACUUGCAGCGAUUGGUCUGUAUAGGGAUACUGCAAGCUGCACUUAGGAGUGAAGUAUUAACAGGUGAAUCAAGACAUUACGUACAAGCGGCACAUGAUUUGCUAUUGCAAAAUACUCCUAUAGAGACAAAUGCCGAGGAGAGGGUGGAGGGAGAUAGUGGAAACGAGCGUGAAGAGAGAGAUGGUGGAGAUGAUGAAAGCGAUAGUGAGGAGAGAGACGGUGGAGAUGAUGAAAGCGUUAGCGCGGAGAGAGAUGAUGAUAGAGAUGAGGAAAGCGACUCUGAAGAGGAAGAUGAGGAAAGCGAGACUAAGGAGGGAGAUAAGGAAAGUGACGCUGACGAGGGAGAUGAAACAAGAUUAAACGAGAUCAAGGCGGCAUACAAGAUCACAAAGAGAUGGAGAUAUCCAGGCAGAUGUAAAAGGAAAUGGUAUUACAAGCUGGCCAAAAAAUGGUUAAGAUAUUUUAUUCCGACUAAGAUGGGAGCCAUGGAAAAGCUUUUACAACUUCAAGACUCUGUUCCUUGCAUGGUUCGAGCAAAACGUGGUUGUGCCACUCACUCAAGGAGCAUUGCAGAAAGGCAUCAAAUGACAAUGUAAAAGAGUACUGCUUCACCUAGGAAGCUGUAUAUUCCUGCAGCUGGACAAUCAUUGAAAUCACAGGGGUAGUCCGGUAAUAUAUUGGGCCGCUCCAGCGAUAAUGAGGGGCAGUCCGGCACCUUAAAGGCACGGUCUGGCGAUCACUAGGAGCAGGCUGGCACUUAAUGGGGGCAGUCCGACACCUUAAAGGCGCGGUCUGGCGAUCACUAGGAGCAGGCCGACACUUAAUUGGGGCAGUCCGGCGAAAAGGUUGACUCAAUCCGACAACUAUUCGGGCAAUACAACGUAUGGUCAAUUGAAAGACCGGUCCGACAAUCCUCUAAGGGCACUCCGACAUUUUGAGGCUUCGGUCCGACGUUUGUCUUAGGCAAUCAGGUGAUUGAACUCACUGGAAAAUCCAAUCCGGCACUUCAAAGGGGUAGUCCGGCGAUAUGCUCUGUCAGUCCAAAAAUUCAUGGGGGCAGUUCGGUGACUAUAUUAAUGGAACACUCAGUCCGGCAAUAAAUAAGGUCAAUCCGGCGUUUAAGGGCAUCAGUCUGGCAUUUAAGCUAGUGGCUCCGGUGAUUAUGGUCAUUGGAAUUUCUUGUACGGAGUUUUGGACAAUCGGUCCAGCAUUUAUAGCAUUCAAUCCGGCGUUUUCUUUGUUCACUCUGGUGUUUGAUCUCACUGGGAAAACCAAUUCAGCGUUCUGUGGACAUGUCUGGCGUUUCGUUUCAUCAGUCCGACGAAAGAACUGUGCAGUCCGGUGUUAGAAUCACUAGAACUGCCCCAUUCCGGCGUAAUAAGGGGCAGUCCGACAUUUUGGUACAUUAGUCUGGCGAUUCUUUACAUCAUUCCGGCAUUUUACAUUACGACGAAUUUGUUGGGCAGUCUGGCGAUUCAUAUCACUAGAACUGCCCCAGUCCGGUGUUAUCAUGGACCAGACCGGCACUAUAUGCAGUCGAGUCCGACGUUUUCGUCACUAGAAUUGCCCCGAUCCGGCAUUAUGAGGAGAAGUUUGGUGCUUGGAGUUGAAGAAUAUCACACCUGAUUAAUGGCGUCCUCAGUUUUAAGAGCCGCAUCAGAAAGAUUAGCGCCCUCUGCAAAACGCCAAGCCAUAACUUUAACAGACACUGCAGCUUCAAGAAUUCGCCAACUCCUGCAGCUGAGGCAACGCCCUUAUCUUCGUCUUGGUGUAAAGGCUCGGGGUUGUAAUGGCCUCUCUUACACUCUCAAUUAUGCAGUUGAGAAGGGGAAAUUGACGAGCUUGUUGAGGAUAAAGGUGUCAAAAUUUUAAUUGAUCCGAAAGCACUCAUGCAUGUCAUAGGGACACAAAUGGAAUUCGUAGAUGAUACAUUAAAGUCUGAGUUUAUUUUCAUUAAUCCCAACUCAAAAGGACAAUGUGGUAAUUGAUUUGCUUUGCAGGUCUGAGUUUAUUUCAUUAAUCCCAACUCAAAAGGGCAAUGUGGCUGUGGAGAAUCCUUCACGCCUACGAGUAGUGGUGCAAAAUAACAAUUAUUUUUAGCCAUUGGAUGUGAAAUCCAAUGGAUUAAAGAGUGCCACAACAUUUGAGAAAAUUUUAUUUUAGAUAUUGUGCUCAAUUAAUGCCAUAUCUUCAACCGUCCGAUUUCACACCCAACAAUCAACAAUGAUUGUGAUCUCCUUGUA